rnacentral:rRNA from 1 species
GACGAACGCUGGCGGCGUGCUUAACACAUGCAAGUCGAACGGAAAGGCCCUGCUUUUGUGGGGUGCUCGAGUGGCGAACGGGUGAGUAACACGUGAGUAACCUGCCCUUGACUUUGGGAUAACUUCAGGAAACUGGGGCUAAUACCGGAUAGGAGCUCCUGCUGCAUGGUGGGGGUUGGAAAGUUUCGGCGGUUGGGGAUGGACUCGCGGCUUAUCAGCUUGUUGGUGGGGUAGUGGCUUACCAAGGCUUUGACGGGUAGCAGGCCUGAGAGGGUGACCGGCCACAUUGGGACUGAGAUACGGCCCAGACUCCUACGGGAGGCAGCAGUGGGGAAUAUUGCACAAUGGGCGGAAGCCUGAUGCAGCAACGCCGCGUGCGGGAUGACGGCCUUCGGGUUGUAAACCGCUUUCGCCUGUGACGAAGCGUGAGUGACGGUAAUGGGUAAAGAAGCACCGGCUAACUACGUG